rnacentral:lncRNA from 1 species
AUUUUUUUUAUCCCAAAAUUCCUUUUUUUCCCCCCAAAUUCCCCUUUUCCCCCCCCCACAAACCAGGCGGGUUUUUUUUGUCCCAAAAUUCCGUUUAUUUCCCCCAAAUUCUCCCCGUUUUGGGGGCGGGGUCAGCCCGGAGUCGCCCCGGGGUCAAAGGUCACCCGGGGAGGUCGAUGGUCACUCCCGAGGUCAAAGGUCACUAAGGGGGGUCGGUGGUCACUUCAGGGUCAAAGGUCGCUCGUGGAGGGCAAUGGUCACUCUGGGGUCACUCCGGGGUCACUCAGGGGUCAAAGGUCACUCAGGGAGGUCGAUGGUCACUCAGUGGUCACUCCAAAGGUCAAAGGUCACUCUGGGAGGUCGAGGGUCACUCCGAGGUCAAAGGUCACUCCGGGAGGUCGAUGGUCACUCCGGGGUCACUCCGGGGUCAGAGGUCACUCCGGGAGGUCGAUG